UAGGGAAUCUUCCGCAAUGGGCGAAAGCCUGACGGAGCAACGCCGCGUGAGUGAUGAAGGUCUUCGGAUCGUAAAACUCUGUUAUUAGGGAAGAACAUAUGUGUAAGUAACUGUGCACAUCUUGACGGUACCUAAUCAGAAAGCCACGGCUAACUACGUGCCAGCAGCCGCGGUAAUACGUAGGUGGCAAGCGUUAUCCGGAAUUAUUGGGCGUAAAGCGCGCGUAGGCGGUUUUUUAAGUCUGAUGUGAAAGCCCACGGCUCAACCGUGGAGGGUCAUUGGAAACUGGAAAACUUGAGUGCAGAAGAGGAAAGUGGAAUUCCAUGUGUAGCGGUGAAAUGCGCAGAGAUAUGGAGGAACACCAGUGGCGAAGGCGACUUUCUGGUCUGUAACUGACGCUGAUGUGCGAAAGCGUGGGGAUCAAACAGGAUUAGAUACCCUGGUAGUCCACGCCGUAAACGAUGAGUGCUAAGUGUUAGGGGGUUUCCGCCCCUUAGUGCUGCAGCUAACGCAUUAAGCACUCCGCCUGGGGAGUACGACCGCAAGGUUGAAACUCAAAGGAAUUGACGGG
rnacentral:rRNA from 1 species